AUGUUCCCGACCCGCCAACGCCAUGUCUUCUUGGAGCUUUUCAAUUCAAUUUCGGCUUCAGCAAUUUAAAUUUUGCUGCUCUUUACUUAAAUAACAUACAUAGGUUUUCCAAAUUCCUUCAUGAUCCAUGUUAUCUUUGAGAAAUUUCACCGGUGUCAGUACUGCUCUAUCAUGUUCGUCAAAUUCUCUGGCAGUUCGCUGUCACUUCUCUUACCGUUUGGCAUUGAAAAUCGCCUCCAUCUCCAAAAUUCCUCUAUGCUCUCUCAAAGUCCAGGAAUUAUCCAUGGAGGAGCCUCUAGAAUCGACUCUUGAUAUGAAAGAGGUUGUUACAUUGAUGCAAAAUGAUAAGAACGAUCCAGUUCCAGGAGGACAAGAAGAGGAGGAAGACAAGGGGAUUUCGAAAAUACGAGUGGCGAGGCAAAAGUAUAUUCCAGUUUCGAAGGCAGAGCUCUUGGAUGCUAUUGUAUUGAAGUUAUUUGACUCUCAAGAUGAAGCAAAUGAAUUUCUCCUUCUCUCUUCACACUUGGAUUCUAUUCUACAUGCCGAGCACAAAAGCAUUUUAGAGGAAAUGCGAGCUGAUUAUUUCCUUAAUAAUGCCUUGGACAAUGUCGAAAAGAGUGAUGAGAAGCUGGCCCGUUCAGAUGCAAAAUCUGAAGUUAAUGGGGACAAAUCUGAUUCUGUCAGCGAUAGCAUCAAUGGAAUCGGGAACGUGGAGGAGAGGGAUGCUGAGGAGAAGGCUGAAAUUGACAUAAAAUUGAAUUUCAAUUUUGGACUGAACUUAAUGACUAUUUUAGGUUCUUCAGCUAAAACUCAGAAGAAAUGUUCAAAUGGGGAAUCCAGACUUGCUGUUUCCACUCGAUUCCAGCGUGCUUUUAUGCAGCUGCUUAAAAAUGGUCAGUUUGAAGAGUUAUCAGCUGGGGAUUUGACGUUGACUUCUGCCUUGAACUCGGAUUACCUACUUACUUUGCCAAUUUAUGUGGACUGGAAAAAGGCAUCUGAAUCCAAUGCGAUAAUAUUCAGGAGGGGUUAUGCAACUGAGAGACAGAAAGGGCUACUGAUUGUUGAAAAACUGGAUUACUUACAGUCUAGACUUCUACGGGGAAUCUUCUUCCUUGUAUCAAAACCACUGGAGAAAGUUGGCAAAUGGAUAAAAAAGGCUAUUAUUAAUGCUUAUCAGACCCCAGAAGAACAAUAUUGGUUCAAGAAAGUGGCACAUUGGUUUGUGGAACUCCCUCUUUUCGGGAAUUCAUAUUCUAAUAAUAGACAAGCGUCUGAUAAGAAACGGGAAAUUGAAUACCUACCAGAUAGCGAUGUUCCUAUUUGGCUUGCAGCACAGAGGGCAGUAAGUCGUUAUGAAGGAUUUCUGUCUCCUGUUGGACCCCGAGGAAGGCUACUCAGGAGGUUGCUUACUUGGAUUGGACUUGCACCUUCUAUGCCAGAAACAUCUUUUGAACUUGAUGGUGACAAUAAUGCUUCUGAGCCUCAUUUAAGGCCAACUUCCUUAGCAAGGAUAUCACUUAGUGAUAUAUGGAGACCUGCCACAAGAAAAUACUGCGGAAGUAAUAUUUGGAAAAUGUUAAAAACAUCCUUUUCCAUCCUUCUGUCACAGUCUGUCCUACAGGAGCCCGCAUUCCAAGAAUUGAUUUUGCUUUAUACCGAGGAAGUGAUUGACAGAAACACGCAGGAUAAAGAUGACGUUCCAUCAUUGCAAUUAAAGAUCUAUGAGAGAAUUCCUAUCCCGGAUCUACCAGUCAUUUUUCCUCACAAAAAGCUCUCUUUCCGUAUCAUAGAUACGAUACGGUUGGAUGCGGCCACAAUACUGGGACUUUCAGCAUACUUCAUCAACUACAAAUUUGAAAAUAUCUUAUCUUCCCCGUAUGGAUUUAUUAUUCAUAUGAUUGUUUUUGAAAUAUUAGCACAUGGCAUAUGAUAUUUUUCACAUUUAUAAGAGGAUAACUAUGUCUUAAAAUGAUGAGUCCAUGAUGCUAGUCAGAAGAAGAGGAACACUACUUUUGUUAUUACUUUCGAGGCUUAGAACCACAUCAGAAUUCUAAAAGGACCAAGCUCAUUUUUUGCCGCUUCUGGAUUUGCAGCAGUGCUUGAAAUUGCUUAAUGCUUUGAAGUUGCAUUGAGAAGUUCAUAGAACAUUACUUUUUUUUCCCUCUGUGAUGCAGCUCUGCAAUAUUUCUUGAUGUAAUUGCCAUCACUGCACUGAUAAUAUAUGUGACUCGUGUGGCUCUGGGUUACAAACAGACAUGGGAUAGGUAUCAAGACACUUUAUGAGAAAACAUUGGCAAGUGGCUUUGGCUCAGUUCAUUUUCUUCUGGAUGCUUCUGAACAGCAGCAGUACAAGGAAGCUGUUUUAACGUAUGCAAUCCUGCUUAAAGUUAAGCAUGGCCAGAUCAAUUGUCACCGAAGUGUUGGUGAGGAAUGUGAGAGAUUUAUGUAUGACGCGUUUAAAGUAAAGGUUGAAAUGCCAGUUGAGAAAGCAAUGAACACAUUGAUCAGGCUGGGCCUUGUUAUGGAAACACCCAUUGAUGGAAGAAUCAGACUGCAGGCUAUUUCUUGCGCAAAGGCGGAGAAGGUCCUCAAAGAACGUUGGAAUAGCUUGCUUCGUUAAACAAAAAUAUAUUCUAAAUUUCCAUUACCAAAUAAUUCAGUCUGCAUAUAUAUAUCUGUAAAUUUCCUCUUCUACAUGUCCCAGGUACGUUGAAAUAUUUGAAAAGAAAAUAUGAGAUAUGUAUAGAAGGAAAAAGUAGGUCUUUUUCAUAGAAACGACAGAGAUUAACGACCUUCCGAUGGUUUCUCUGUAUUAACUUACUAUAGAAUCACAUAUCCAUCGAGUAAAAGAAAUGUAUAAAAAUACACAUUUGGAUUCUUUCUUUUUCA